AUGGCAUUGCAGUGGGACAAAAGAAGUCCUGUGAUAUCCCUCAAAUCAUAUGAGGACAGCAAGCAAUUAUCUGAAGCAGCUGGGUUACGUGAAGGACUGAUCACAUGUUACAACACACAGAGGAAUUAUGGAUUAUGGAAAGAUGAACAAUGUAAUUAUGCUCAUGGAGUGUCACUUAUUAAUUUUAAGGUUUGCCAUUUGUUCCAGGCAGGAGCAUGUGAGGAAGCUGUUCGACAUCUUUCAAAGCACGUGAGAUUCCUGUCUAUCUCCGCCCAGCUUAGGAAGGAAAAAGGAAAUGGACAGGCGCAACAGUCAGCGGGGCUGGUGUGUGUGCCGGGGAGAGAGAGGUGGAGAGAAGAUGUGCAAAUCGCAGCAGCUGCUCUGAUUUUUGUGGUUAUCAUUUGCUUUGAUAUUGGAUCCUUGUG
rnacentral:lncRNA from 1 species